GUAACAUGUUUCAGUAGGUGAACCUGCGGAAGUAUCAUUA
rnacentral:rRNA from 1 species